rnacentral:misc_RNA from 1 species
CAAACAGUCUGACCCCCUUAUCUCGCAUGUACUGAUUGGGUUUCAAAACUGACAGAAACUUUAAUAUUCUGUAAUCUACUAUUUAAAUUUUUAAUUCCGCUUAAAUCUAGGGUGACAAAUAAUUGAUCUAUGGGUAUAAUACAAAGUAAAAUAAUACGGAUUAACUCUUAAUCUCUAUUUACAAUGGAUUUGACGGGAUAUAUUGUUAUCUGUGACCGAUUGUGUACCGUUUAAAAAAAAUUUGUACAUGCAUAAUCAUUAGAUUAGAAAUAGUAUGAAAAUAUUAUUGAUGCAUUUUGAUUGAUCAAAUAUAAUGACAGUUUAUUGAAUUUACCACAUUAGGUAGUGGGACACAAAAAAGGACAAUCAUGGAACAAAAAGUUAUUUAACAAAAUUGCAUUUGGUAUUGUUGACUUACAAAAUUAUGAUACUGAUUGUAAAUUGAACGAAUAGUGAAAAUUUAUAUUUAUUUAAUAGAAGCGUAGAAACUAUAAGUUUCAUGUAACGGAGAUAAGUGUUAAUUGUUAGAAAUAAUUAUGUAGUGGAAUUACAGAGGAUGAAAAAUUGUGUUUUCCAUGAGUGAAAGUAGUGUUAUUUUGUACAAAAAAAGAAGAGUGGAUAUUUUUCUUUCAAUUCAAGAUGACAAGUGUUGAAGUACAGAGCACCCCCGAUGCUGGACUUCCCAGCUUGUCACGAAAAGCAGGUCUUAAAAAAAGGAUAAAGGGUUCGACUCCUCCGCCACCAAUGAAUGCUGAUGAUAUUCCGUGGAGGGGACAUGGGGGUCGCGCCCCUACUAUGAGCAGUGUGGAAUUUGAUAGACAGCUUGAUAAAAUAGCGGUAUGGCUGGAAGAAUGGAGUCAUGAACAGAGAUGUCAGAUUGUGGAGGGUAUAUUACGUCGCAGUAACUAUAACCAGUUUCAGUUCUUGAACACAUCGUUACAACCGAUCCUGCACAGAGAUUUCAUGUACACAGCACGCACGCAGUUUCCAGCGAUAGAAUUCCAGCCUGUUAGCACACACACAAGUAGAAAAUUAAAGGAGAAACUGAUAUACACUCGGCAGGACAACUAUCAUAGAAUUAAGAGUGCACACUUAAGAGAUGACACUGAAGUCAAGCAACAAAUACAGGAGAGAGAAUCUCUCAGAUUACCUCAGUUAUCGAGGAGUAAUGGGGUAUCACCUGUAGAUGUAACUGAUAAGCCCAUGGCUCAUCUUUUGACUGUAACCCCAAGAAAGAAACUGCGACGGAGCCCAAGUCUGGAGAAGAAUGGUGUGGACAAAUGGGUAGGGGAAGGAAAUCCCCUGUAUUCAAGUCAACCAAAUCUAAGUCAGUACAGCAAUAUCAGAUAUAUAGAUAUGCCAAUUCGACGUCAUAUCCAGGAUGAGAACAGCCCACGCCAGGGCUCGCACGUCAAGUCAGCUACCACCACAAUAUUGUCUUCAAAUACUGGUCUCACUAAAUCAUCAAAUUUGAGUACAGUCCACAGGAGUAACGGUUACCAGAAUGCUCAUAGAAAACCUAAACUUAAGCACAAGGGUGAAGGAAGCUCUGCAUUAAAUGUGCCCAAUUUAUCCCUUCCUGGAGAAGCUGGUACCCUGUUCAGCUGGUACACACAAAACUGGUCAGAUGUAAAAAGGAAUGAGUUCCUGCAUAAGUUUAUGCUCAAGUUGGACCCAAGGCAGCAUUACUUUGUUUCAAGUUUUCUUGCUGCUCGGCAGCAUAAGGACUUCAUUAGUUUAUUGCCCAAAGAUAUAUCACUGAAGAUACUUCACUAUCUCUCUGUUCAAGAUUUACUCAGAUGUUGUAUGGUGUGUAAAACAUGGAAUGCUCUAGCCAAUAACAAUGAUCUGUGGAAACAUAAAUGUGAAACAGUUAAAAUGGAGGUUCCUGUGAGUGAUCAGCCAGAAUGGAAGAAAUUGUAUAAAGACAAUAAAUAUCUGCGGGUUAACUGGAACAGUGCUAAGUGUAAAAUAACAGACUUCAAAGGGCAUUCUGAUAGUGUAAUAUGUGUAAUAUUUGACCAUUUGCACCUGGCGAGUGGAAGUUUGGACAAAACUAUAAGGGUUUGGAAUCUAAAGACUGGCAAAUGUCAGCACGUUCUCAAAGGCCAUGUGAAAGGUGUCUGGUGCCUGAACUUCUUCACCCACAACCUCCUUGUCAGUGGGUCAUAUGAUGGAACCAUUAGGGUUUGGAACCUAAGGACCGGCAAGUGCAACAAGACUAUAAUAGCUCAUGAUGGACCAAUCUGGGCUUUGGCAAGACACAAUGAAGUUCUAGUCACAGUAUCUCAGGAUAAAACUGCAAAAGUUUGGGAUAUUAACAGGUGUCUACAUUUGAACAGUUUACUUGGUCACACAGCGGCUAUAUUUGCAGUAGAUAUGAGUGAAGAUGGACACCUCGUCAUCACAGGAUCUGCAGAUAAGAGUGUAAAGAUCUGGAACAUCGAGACUGGCAGGUGUUUGAGAUGGAUCAGUGUCAGCCAGACGACGUCCAUCAUGUCUGUUAGCUAUAGUCAAGGUCAUUUAGCAUGUUCAUAUGGUGAAACUAUCUGUGUCUACAAAGUUGAAGGUCCGACAAGGCUGAUAAAGAAAUAUCUCGAUAUUGUUAAUGAACAUCAGAAAAGGAUAGAAUGUUUGAAACUCAGGCAUACUUGACAAAGAGAAGGGAGAAGGUAUAAUUGUUAGUGCUGGUAAAGAUGGGGCAGUCAAAUACUGGGAUAUUCAAAAGGACAAAAGUAUUCAGACGUUUGUUGGCCAUAAGGGACGU